AAAACCCAAAGAUCCGUGAGAGAGAAAAUGGCUUUUCUCUAGUUGGAAAUGCGAAUAAUGAAUGAAUUUGGUUCAGAAUUCUAUUUAUAGUCCUGAGAUAUUUUUGGCAGAAAAUAUUUUUAUUCCUGAAAUGAUUUCUCAUAUAACAGAGUGUUGGAAUAACAGUGUUGCACAAAACCCUAGUGCAUCCACUCUCCUGAUAUCUCCAGAAGUGUAAACCCUGAAUUACUCAAACUUACACGAAAAAGUCUGAAAAUUAACUGUGACUGCUAUAACUUCUAUUGAAGUGAUAUUUUUUGUACAAAAUGGAAAUUUCGGGUUGUCACAUCGUCCCCCUGUUAAAGGGAAUUUCGUCCCAAAAUUAGAAUUUAGGCAAGGAAGUAAGUAAACGUGAUCGAGUCGUUAGGUGAAAACUUCCUAAUCGAUUUGCUCUCGCGCUCCCAAGUGAAAUCGGGUUCUCGAUUGGUGUUCCAACGAACCUUCACUAAUGGGCGAGCGUUGCUUCGUCUGCUUGACCUCUUGGUCGAGGGUCACUACGGUCCUAAUAUGAAGGCGAGGAUCUCAACAAGUGGACUUACGAGAGUCUUAACGGGAAGGUAUGGUUUCACGAUCGAGAUGCAAAGAGUAGAAUGUACGUACUGAGUUCGUGGAGUGGGUAUAGUCAGUGAGAUACAGGACCGAUUCUGGUAAGAAUCUCGGAGGUCCUAACUAUAUUGGAUUUAGCUUUCCACGCUUUACGAAGCAUAUUUAAGCCAUCCCCAGAGUGAGGUUUCUUAAAGAAUUUGGUCUCUCACUUGGUAUUCCAAAGGUUCUUUCUACUGCUUAACUUCCCAGUUAAGGGCCACCCCUCGCUGGGUCAAAGUCAAAAGGGUUUCUGAAAUUUGGGAGGGAUUCCGAAUGGACUAUGAUAGUAGGUCUAUAAGACCUAGAACUUGGCGAAUUUUCUGUCGGUGACUACGGUGCCGACAAAUUCCCAAUGGUUUUGAAUAACUUACCAGAGUACUCAAUAAUUUCCACAACACUAAUAAUGUGUUUCAGGAAAUGUGACUCUUAAUUCCAAAACUCAUGUUCAGAGAACUUUGCAAAAAGUAUUUCCGAGGGUAAUGUUCCCAUGGGUUCCUUCUUACUAUGAGAGUAGAUAAGUAAGGUAUUACAUGGAUAAACGAUGAACUGAUCUCAGUAAGAAAGACGUACUCCACUCAUUCAGCUCAUGAAUACUGUGGGCGUAUUGAUCCUAUCCGAGGGGUAUCACUACGGACUUGAAAUGUCCGCAUCGAGUUCGGAGGAUAGUCUUCAGGACAUCCUUCCCUAUCACUCGACCUGGUGAUAUUCGGAUCUCAGGUCCAUUUCUGAAAGUAACUAUUUUCCUGUGUUUGCUCAGUCAACUUGCCUAAGCGAGGCAGAGACAACGAUUUCUAAAGGAAAUCGAAAUGAAGUCCCCGGUCGUCGAGGUACAUACGAUGCACUCCUUCGACUUCUGGUACGAAUAAGACCGGAGCUCUCAAGGGUGAAAAUCCUGGUCUUCUAAUUCUAUUGUUGAGUAGUUCGCUGUGUUGUCCGGGCUGUUCUUGUAUCUUCCGUAGAUGUUUAGACAGAAAGGAGUUCUGGUUAUAAGAGUUAUAUUGGGUUCUAAGUUUGUUCACAUGCUAAAUGCAAUUACUCAUAGUCUUGGGCAGUCUCCGUCCUGAAGUUCAUAUUAUAAUUCAUACCUGGUUCAAUGAUCACAAUUUCGUGUAUACGAGUCGUAUAUAACUAAGGUUGAAAAGGUAGUCGAAUAACUGAUUCUUCCUUAACCUCACAUCCCACCGAGGGAAAAGAAGUUAUAGUGAAUUCAUAAAUUCUAAACUUGUAGAACAUUGAUUAUAUAUCACUCUCAUGUAUACAUUCUUCAGUGAUAGGUCAUCCGUAUGAAUCCUGGAGUUGAACUUGACGUACUGCACGAGUAAUACUGUGGGGAUUCCUUCGGAAGGAAAAGAACUAUAAGGUACUUCAUGCACGAGUACCCCGAUGUUCCGAUAUGAUGGCUUCAUUAAAAGACGCUUACUGAGAAAGAGAUGUACUUAUGAAACUCGCAUUGCGAGGAUCGAAUGGAAUCGAGUCGUAUGAUAAUUUCGGANNNNNNNNNNNNNNNNNNNNNNNNNNNNNNNNNNNNNNNNNNNNNNNNNNNNNNNNNNNNNNNNNNNNNNNNNNNNNNNNNNNNNNNNNNNNNNNNNNNNGUUUCGUUGAUGUUUUCAUGUCCCAAAUACACUUAUAAACAAGCCUAAGGUAGUAGUAUAUCUCGGGGGAAAGGCUAGGCAUUGUUUCGGGAGUUUACCGCCCAAGAACACCUUGGGGAGUAAACUCCUAAAUCUAGUGAUUUAGCUACGUAAUCUAUGUUAUGAACACAUUUUAAGCUAUAUAACACUAAUAGAGAGAGGUACUCACGAUUUGGGAUAAAAACCCAAAGAUCCGUGAGAGAGAAAAUGGCUUUUCUCUAGUUGGAAAUGCGAAUAAUGAAUGAAUUUGGUUCAGAAUUCUAUUUAUAGUCCUGAGAUAUUUUUGGCAGAAAAUAUUUUUAUUCCUGAAAUGAUCUCUAAUAUAACAGAGUGUUGGAAUAACAGUGUUGCACAAAAACCUAGUGCAUCCACUCUCCUGAUAUCUCCAGAAG
rnacentral:lncRNA from 1 species